GAUAGCAUAGAUGAACCACUCUUCGUCGAUUAUCGACCUUCCAGCUCCCGCUAUGGUACCGGACCGACGGCGGUGGGCAUUCUUGAGGCGUAUAUUUUUCAAAAGCAAUGUCCAAUCCGAUAACAAUCCAGGAACUACUGGAAUACGCCUUCCACAUAAUACUUCGUAGCAGUAGCGCCUUCGGAAGCACCUACAAGUUUUCAUUGCGUCCUUGAAAUUCUCCUCCUAUUGCAGCUUCAGCUUUCUUGGUUCCGGCAAAACGUACACAUCUCCUCUGGAGGUACGAAACCGAGGUAAACAGCAGUGCCUGGGUAUGCUUGUCGAUGACAUUUGACAUUUCAAUCAUAUACACGCUCGUCCGGCUGAACUCAAUUUUGAGUCGCUUUAACUCAAAAUGAUAACUUCUUCAGAGACGUCAAACGCUGAGUAACUGAGAAUUAUUAUUUUGAGUUAGUUUGACUCAUUCUGCAUAAAUCGAAGCAGAACUAAAAAAUGAGUUCACAGUGAAAAUUUCAAGAAGUCCAACGGUCGAUGAUAGAAACUUCAUAACUAAAACCAUGAUGCAACAAUCCAACUAUUCAGACAAGUUUCGGGACUUUGGUGAGGGCCCUUUUAAACAACGUCAGAUAUCAGCAUCAGUGAUCGCUAUUACGACAUCCAGAUGCUGUUUAAUGCAGAUAUGAAGGUUCAAAGGAGGUUUGGGCAGAGGUCCACGGUUAGAACCCUAACUAACGACAUUUCAGCAGCCCGUGGCAGCUAUUUUAUUUUAGGAACGUUUUUAUUAUUAUUUUAUUAUAUGUAGUAAUCAGAAUAUGUAUUUGUUGUAUGUGUAUAUGAUGUAAUUCAAUUUAUAUUUGAUAAGA